rnacentral:rRNA from 1 species
UACGUAGGGGGCGAGCGUUGUCCGGAUUUAUUGGGCGUAAAGAGCUCGUAGGCGGCUUGGCAAGUCGGGUGUGAAACCUCCAGGCUCAACCUGGAGACGUCACUCGAUACUGCCAUGGCUAGAGUCCGGUAGGGGACCACGGAAUUCCUGGUGUAGCGGUGAAAUGCGCAGAUAUCAGGAGGAACACCGGUGGCGAAGGCGGUGGUCUGGGCCGGCACUGACGCUGAGGAGCGAAAGCGUGGGUAGCAAACAGG